UACGUAGGGGGCAAGCGUUGUCCGGAAUCAUUGGGCGUAAAGCGCGUGUAGGCGGCCCGGUAAGUCCGCUGUGAAAGUCGGGGGCUCAACCCUCGGAUGCCGGUGGAUACUGUCGGGCUAGAGUACGGAAGAGGCGAGUGGAAUUCCUGGUGUAGCGGUGAAAUGCGCAGAUAUCAGGAGGAACACCAAUUGCGAAGGCAGCUCGCUGGGACGUUACUGACGCUGAGACGCGAAAGCGUGGGGAGCAAACAGG
rnacentral:rRNA from 1 species